CUGCGAGCAGGGUUAUUCGAUAAUUAAUGUUACUUUUAAGUUUAAUUUCAGUUUAAUUCUCCAAAUGGGACAGACCUGACGGAAGAAAAAUGAUUCCCACCGAAUCAGCAGCAUACGUAUUGGGAAUCUUUUCCGAAAGGGCCAGUAUCGCAGCAGUGUAAUCAUCCGGUAAACCACCAGCAGCAGUCCCACUGAUCUACCCGGAGUUUCUGGGAUGCAAUGGAAUGCACGAAGACAAAGAUGACCGACCGAAUCCGGACCAAAUCAGGACGCGCUGAACUUGUCCCGUAUAGGUACCAUUUACAUAAGUCUUUUUCGGAGGGUGGUGCGGAACUCGGCGCAGACCUGUGCCGUAGCAAUGCGCUUCGGAAGCAGAGGGAAACCGGAAGCAGCAGCCCUUGUUGGCCCCCAUAACCGUCCAUGUAAUCCAUGAGAUGCGGAUGGAAGCAUCAUCAACAGAACUGGCAAGCAACAGCCGUGGAACCAGAUGAAAAUCACCACCAUCCUACAUGAUCUCCGCAACGAGUUGUUCCCAACAGGCAGGAAUGCUAUCGGGCCAUAUGUUGCAUCGGCAGCGUAUUGGCAUAUAACAUAAAA